rnacentral:lncRNA from 1 species
GCGGGUAAAUACAGUACUCUUGUGACACCAAGCUCACUUGUUUUAAUGCAGGUGUGGCUGGGCCUGCAGAAAAGCUGUAAGCAGACUGCAGUGUUGCUGAUCAGUGCUGAUCUCCACGUCCGAGUUGGUCCCACAAUAUCCAGGCACCACGGUGCUUUCACAAGAGGCAUACGAGCACUUUGUUUCAAAAACGCCAAGCACCGUGGAUACAGAGGCAAGGAGGCUGAAGGACCUGAACAAGCACCUGGCCACCAUGCUUCGGGAUGCAAAAUAAAGAUGGUUUGUGUUAA